UACGUAGGUGGCGAGCGUUAUCCGGAUUUACUGGGUGUAAAGGGCGUGUAGGCGGUUUUUCAAGUCGGAUGUGAAAUUCCCGGGCUUAACCCGGGCGCUGCAACCGAAACUGAGAAACUUGAGUACUGGAGAGGACAGCGGAAUUCCUAGUGUAGCGGUAAAAUGCGUAGAUAUUAGGAGGAACACCGGUGGCGAAGGCGGCUGUCUGGACAGUAACUGACGCUGAGGCGCGAAAGCGUGGGGAGCAAACAGG
rnacentral:rRNA from 1 species